rnacentral:lncRNA from 1 species
UCUAUUCAAAUAACACAAAAUUUAAUACAUAAGUUUUGAAACCUACAACAAACUCUUCUGGGGGAUGUUCGCAUGGCUCCCAUCUUCUCUUUCAUAACACUUGAGGAAUACUUCAGUGCUUCCUACUGGACCUCCUUUCUCUUGUUUCUAUACAACAUGUCAAAUCAUGUAAGUUCAUGUAGAAUCAUGCUACUCUAUACUUUAUACUACAAGUUCAUGUAUGUUGAUACUUACCAACUAUUCAUGAACUCUGUUGAAAGGCUUUGAUCCUUUUGUAUGAUAGAUGUAUUGAUUAGCCCGGUUUGCUUUGCUUCUCUAUGAGGCUUCCUACAUUCAUUAAAAGACAUAAACUAGGUUUCAAGCCAUAGAAAUUAAAAACAUGCUGCUUAGUUAGCUUACUGAAUACUCCUUAGAACACUUAUAUCGACAUAACAUAUCCUAAUCACGUGCAUCUAUCAAAGGUGGUCUCUUUGAGAUGUUGAACUCAACAUUUUGAGUUUCAUCAUAGUUUGCCUUCCUCCACAGCCAUCCUCUUUGCUCCCUCCACUUAAUUCCCAAAUUCUCCAUUAUGAACUUCUCCAUCUGCUCAUCAUCUUCCAUUUUCCAAAUAAACUUUUCCUGCGAUUAGAGUAACACUGUUAUAGUAACAUAUUGAACACACGAAUUAGAUAAAAGUUAGAAGUUUAUAAAUUUCAACCUUGAUGAAGGCAUUCCAAAUAUGUUACUUAUCAUUUUCUGGGACUUUUUAACCUAUCAUCAACUCCAAUGGAAAAUAUGUUGGGUUGCACCCUCUUUUUUUCCAGGAACACCAGUGACUUUAUGCAAACAACCACAAUGAAACAAUCAGUCUCAGCUACAUUAGACCAAUCUAUUACCUUUACCUUCUAUACCCACCUGUUAGUCCCAGUGUAAUCGAACCAAUCAUACAAUUAUGUACUAGGCACAAUAUGAGCAGCAAAGUACUAUACUAACCUGAAAUGCAAACAAAGACUUACCGACCAUAUGUAGAUUAUACCAUUCUUUCUUCACCUUCUUAGGACGAUGAUUUUCAUCACCGUCCUCGCCACCAACAGAACCAUCUAUCACAUUUGCCAUCACUAUUCAACAUAUAUAUACUAGAAACAUUAACCAUUUAACCCGAGAAUGAAUACAAAUAGUUUAGACAAUCAUCUAUUACAUACUUAAGAAAAUCAUCUACUAAAUACAUAACAUUAUUACUCAUCAAACUCUACUUCUAAUCCUAAUCUAACAAGUGUUAAGUUGUGUCUGUCCUCGACCAUAGGAAGUCUUGCCUUUGAAGUGAAUCAUACACAUAGUUCAGUCCGUCGUGCAUGUCGUACAAGUCCCUUGGUUUAAUGUGUAUUGGAAUACACCAUCCCCUUUCCUUCAAAUCAUCAACAUAAUACACCAUUCGGGCAAGACUUGCUAAGAUAUAAGGUUCAUAGCUUGCUUGUGUGCUAGUGUGUAUUGGAUGAUCAAAAUUUACACCUUUGAAUCCCAACUCCUCUACCUUGUAGCCCUACUAGUAAUUGUAUUGGCCCACCUAUACUUGAACAGAACAGCUUGUCAUCCACAAUAGUUCAAGGCAAUGACUUCUUCCAACUUUUCAUAGUAUGGAACAGAGCCCUCAACUGGUCGAGUGUCUGGAAAGCUUCCAUAACUUUAAGUGUCCAAGUUUGCAAAGACACCACUAUUUUGUGUUCUUUACAUCCUUUCUCGUUCGAUGGUGCGAAAUCUGUAUUCAUUCACAUUGUAUGAUGUAUAACGUCUGACACCAAUAAGUGGCCCUCUAGCUAACAACUUCAUAUCAGUGGAGUGGGACACUAGUUCAUCGUUUAGAAUUUAAAAAAACAUUUGCAUUAGAUUGUUAGACUAUUAAUACCGUCAAUCAAGUAAAAUUCUACAUGAAAAAUGCGUACCCUUCUACGAAACUAGUCAUGAAAGUCUCGAUGCACCGUUUUCUUUAUUUCAGCCGUAGCUCUCUGUUGCGCCCUAAUCCCUUUAUACUGCAACCUCGUAUGGUCUCUAAACUAUCUAGAUAUGCAGUUAUCAACAUUAUUACAUGUCCAAUCAAUGCAACAACGGUACACACUACAAACCAAAAUGUACUCACUGUAGAAAAGGUUCAAUUCCCUCCAAAUUGAACAACACAUGUCGAUGAGCUUGAAGUAGCUCUGUCUCGGUGAGUGUCUUUAACUUUGCAGCACUGCUUGGUUUCCAACGGAAAGAAAAAGUACAGGUUCACUACCUUCUAGCUUUUCAUCAAGUUCUUGUACUCGUUAAGCACGAUUGAACCGUGUUUCAGUACUAUCAUUUAGAGACAAUGAUGAGUAAGUGAACAUUUCAUCUUCAAUCCAACCUUCAACAAUACAUCCUUCUAGAUGUGCUCUGUUGCUAACGAAUCCCUUCAACUUGUCUAGGAACCUUUCUAUAGGGUACAUCCAAUGGUAUUGAACUGGUCCUCCAAUUCGAACUUCUUCAACUAAAUGCAAUACCAGAUGCACCAUCACAGUGAAGAAGCCGGGUGGAAAGUACAUCUCCAUGUGACAACUAGCCAUGGCUAAGCGCUCCUGAACUGUAUCAAACUCUGCAAUGUUGACAACUUCAGAGGUUAAUGCUUUUAUACACGAGUUGAAAUAAAAAAACACUGCAACUACUUGCCUUGGCAUUACUAGUGUUCGGGAAGGCGUGCCUCCGCGGCCGCUUAGGCGAUAAAAUCGGCGGGGCGGAGAGGAAACGCGGCGAUUAGUGCGAGGCGGACUGAUUAAGGCGGAUCGUCGCCGAAUCGUCGCCGAAUCGUCGCCUCGAGCGCCUCCGCGGCGCCGAAUCGGAAAAGGCGGUGUCGCCGCGUUUAAAAAAAGAAGGAAACAGGAGUCAACGCCUCACACAUCGUCGUCCUCCGCCUCGAUCGACGCCGUCUCCUCCUUCAUCUCCGACGCAUCUCCUCCUUUCAUCUCCGACGCCGUCUCCUUUGACGGAGGGCAAGACAGUGGGAGUUAUUGUGAGGGACGGGAUCGGAAGUGAUGACGUGGAAGUGGUCGGAGGUGUGGGUGGAGGAAAAGAAGGAGGAGAGGAUGUGAAGGCGGAGACGACGAGGCGGAGGUGGAGAGAGAGAGGGAGGGAAAGGGAUAGAGAAAAAGGUCGGGGGAGGAAAUAAAAAUCGUUCAGUUUGGAGGAGAGGGUUGCAUGUGUAAUUUUGUGAGCCACAUGAAUUAAAUAAAGAAUUCCAGAAGCUUCUCUUUUAUCUUCUUCUUAAUAAAUAGAAAUAAAAAGGAGUAAUUUAAACAAUAAAAAAUAGGCAAAAAUUAUUUUUGACAAUAUAUUGGAUAAAACAAAUAAUAUUAAUUAUGAUAAAAAAAUUAAUAGAGGAGAAAUAAAAAAAAUAAAUUUUUCUAUUAAAUCUAUUAUAUUUUUUCAAAACGCCUAAUCACGAUUAGGCAACGCCUAAUCGACCAAGGCGUAAAGCAGGACCUCACCGCCUUACUACCGCCUUACGCCUUCCACAACCUUGGGCAUUACAUUUCUUAUUGCUACAAACAACACCUCAUAUAAAGAACGUGUGAAUCAUGACUUUUCAAGCCAAAUAUCUUCAGUUUCUCUAAGUCAACACUGGGAUAUAUUACUUGAAUAUCCAUCUAAAACGGACAGAGACUUGAGAUUUUGCAACAUUAGAUCAAUCUCCUAUUUGGCUAGACUAAAUAAUCCUGCUGGACAUUUUCCAUUCUCCAAAGGGCACAGGUCUAUCUUUAUAUUCAUUGACACCAACUCUUGUCUUGCCUUCAAAUUUUCUUUGCUUUUAUCUUUGUCAUUAAUAAGUGUGAAUGGAAUGUUGUAACACACAUUUUUCUCGAUAUGCAUCACAUCUAGGUUAUGGUGCAAUAGAUUGUGCUGCCAAUAUGAUAGAUCAAAAAAUGUACUACGCUUCUUCCACUGUUGUGUUUCCUUAGUGGCUGAUGUAGGUCUUUUCUUCCCAAUUCUAAGAUCAAUCAUCUUGCCAAAUGUGAUGUUUAUGUCCUUGACUUGUUCAAGGAUUUGAGUUCCAGAUAGAAGAGGAGGAGGUGGCCUAAAUUCAUUGUGGCCAUUGAAGCGGGCUUGCUGAUUUCUAAACUGAUGACCCAUUGGUAAAAAUUGACAACUGUUCAUGAUGGAAGACUUACCACUUUUUGGAAGACGGAAUGGGUGGUAUCAAAAUUACAAGAUGGACAGGCUGUAGCGGUAUGAGUGUUCCAUUCAGAUAGAGUGUCUAGUCCAGGAAAGUCACUAAUAGUCCAAAUCAGAGCUGCUCCCAAUGUGAACAUUCCUUCUUUGCAGCAUCAUAUGCAGUGACCCCAUCCCACAAAAUCUUCCAUUCUUCAAUUAAAGGACCAAGGUAGACAUCUAUGUCAUUCCUUGGCUGUGUUUUUCCAGGAAUAAUACAAUUUAACAUCAAACUGGUUUGCUUCAUGCACAACUAAGGGGCGGUGUUAUAUGGGAUCAGAACUACCGGCCAAAUACUAGUGGCAGUCCCCAUGGUUCGGUAAGGAUUGAAACCAUCACUAGAAAGUCCUAAACGUACAUUAUGAGGGUCACUACAAAACAUAGGAUAUUUGAGAUCAAAGUCCUUCCAAACUUUUGAAUCCCUUGGGUGUCACACUUUUCCAUAAUUUGUUUCUUCUGUUGAGUGCCAAACCAUAUUACCAGCCAACUUAGAAGACAAAUAAAUCCUCUUUAGCCGAGGGAUCAGAGGAAAGUACCGAAAUACUUUAACCAGAAUAUGAUUCUUCUUAUUAGUUACAAUACUCCCAAUCUUUGUCUUCUUGUAUCUAGAAGAAUGACAAACUUGACACUCUUUGUCGUCUAUAGCAUCUUCCCAGAACAACAUGCAAUCCAUUUUAAAGGCAUCUAUCUUCUUAUAGUCAGACCUAGUGCAUCAUGCACUAAAUCAUGCAUUGCCUGAACAUGACGAGGUCGCACCAGAAUAUUGUCCACAUGAGUUGUAGUAGUAUGGGAACUAAUAUUAUUUGAACUACUCGAGGUAGAAGAUGUUUGUGCCUCCACCACCUCUCCAUGUAUGUACCAUACUUGGUAGUGUGAUGGAAACAGUUUUCAUAACAAGUGGUCAAAAACCGUUUCCCUAUCAGAGAAGUUGUUGAACUUGUACUUAGAACAAGGACACAAAAUCACAGUUCCGCCUCAAUUGUGUGCAAAAGUAAAAUAAGUAUAUUUGUACACCAUCAAGGUAUUGGGGGUUUGUGCGAGGCAAGCUAAUCUAAGAUUUAUCCAUAUCUACCUAAGUGACAAAUAAUAUAUUGAUUAUAUUAGUAUAUAUAUAUCAUUUUAAACUAUUCACAUAAAAAUAAAGGAAAUUUACAAUAACGCCUAAACACAAAACACGAUAGCUAGUUCAUAUACAUGUUCACAUUAUAUCUAUAUCCUACUUAUUCAACUUUAUAAUUACUAGCUAGAGAGAUCAAAGUUCUUAUCUUCUUUCACUAACUCACAAACUUCCAACUUUAACCUCUUCCUUAGUCUUGACCAAUAUAAUGAUGUAGACCUUCCAAAACAUCAUUAAAUUAGAUCAAGAAUCAACUCAAAAUACUCAAUAUAUAAAGGUACAUUCCUAAACCAAUAACCCUAAUUUGUCAACAAUCAAACCUAAGCUAAGAUUUUGAACAUCUUCUUAACCAUAUAACUAGAUAUAACAUGUUGACAACAAAUUAAAUCCAUAUCAAUCUAAAUUACAGAAUUUAACAUCAUAGAACAAAAAAGCCCAAAUUAAGAAUUAUGGUUCAUCCCACAAUUCCUAAAUUCUAAAAUCUAUGUAAUUGUAUACCCACAACUUCGUAUUCAUGGUUCAAACAACAAAACUACUUAUCAUUAUCCCACACAUAUUUAAUUUCAACAAUUUUAACUCAAUCAAUGAAAUUCCUAAAUUUGAAAAAAUUAGACUUUUGCUCAUAACUUACCUUGAAUCGGAGAUUGGCUCGCGGAUCAUAACUUGUCAUAUAUAAGGUUUGGUUGGUAGUUGUGGAAAAAAGUAGUUGUUUAUGGUAAAAAAAAACCGGUGCAUGUCACAUGACUCAAUAUUGACAUUGUUUGGUAGAUCCUGAUUUAGCAUUUUGGUAGGUUGACUGCUGGGAAUUAAAAUGGUGAGUUUGGUUUGUAACGGAUAGGCAAGUCAAUGGAGAGGGCGCCAACUUCACCAACUUACUACGAUUUCCCUUCAAUACAAGCUACUGCUGCCGAUCACGCUCAUUUGUGGGAAGGAGGGGUUCGGGUUAGGUCAUCUAAUAAUACACCCAUCACAAUUUGUAUUUUAGUUCACGCUUAUUAUAUACUACGCAUUCUGAUUCUUCUCCCUUCAACACACACAUUAAUUACAUGAAACUAUUUCUCUCGCAUCUCAAAGACAGACGGAGAGACACAUUCAUCAAUAUGGCUGACCCGAAUUCGCUUUGUUUUAAUCUCCUAGCCGCCGCCGUUGUUCUCAGCCUAGCCUUCUCAUCUUGCGGCGCCACAACUUACACGGUCGGAGACAAUUCAGGUUGGGACAUAAGCAGUGAUCUCGACAGUUGGGCUCAGGAUAAAACCUUCUACGUCGGAGAUGCUCUCUGUAAGCCUUACUACAUAUAUACACCUCAUCUCAGCAUCUAAUUUAUCCAUUGUUCUCUUCUUCUCUUUUGACCGGCAGAGUCUAGUUAAAUCCGGCCGGAUUUCCACUAUGAAUGAGUAAAAUAUAUUAUACUGUUGAAGUAGAUUAUAUAUGAUUUUUGUAUAUAUUGCAAAACUAUUUAUAUAUUACUUCAAAACCAAUUUUAUAUAUAAUGUUGUGAUUCCUCAUUAAUCAUUGUUUUGUAUAUCUCUUCAAUCUUCUUUCCAAAUUAAUGAAUAUCAAUUCACUAAAAUUAUGAUCUUCAUACAAGGUAGUAACUCUAUAACAGUAGCUUAAUGGUUAUGAUAUGGUUUUUUAUCGUUUGACUCCGAUUUGGUAAGAGCUUUACCCGAAAAAUCUGAAAAUCCAAAUUUAUGUAUUAUAUGUUGACCCGAGCUCGAUCCGAUCCUAUUAACUUUAAACUUUCAGGUUAACCAAAACACGAUUGACCAUACUGGGCUAAGUCCAGUUGGAACCCAAUCAAAUUCCCAAUCUCUAAACCUAUCCCAUCAUCCAUAACUUUUAUCUAAAAAAUUAAACUAAUAGAAAAGGCUAAAACAAAGUAAUGAAAUUCAAAAUGAACUAAAUUGAUGAAAAAUCAUAUGAUGGGAUAGGUUUAGUUAAACUAUAUUCAAAGUACACCUGCAUAAUGAAUAGUGUAGAGCAUUUGUGCUUUCUAUAAUAAUAAUAAUUUGGUAUUUUCCAAUUUGAAAUUAGUGUUUCAGUACAAAUCCUCAGAGACAGUAGAAGAAGUGAACAAAGCAUCUUUCGACGGCUGCAAUACGACGGACGUAAUGAAAUCGUUCAACGACGGGAAUACGACGGUGGAAUUGGACAGUGGUGGACCCUGGUAUUUCAUCUGUGGGAACAAGUUGUACUGCUUUGGAGGGAUGAAGCUCCAGGUGGACGUCAAAGGUAAUCAGACUGUUGCAGAUUCACCAAUUGGUUCCCCUGAGGGGCAGCCUGCAAACCCUUCUUCCAAGACCGACUUCCCCUCUUCUUCAGCUUUUGUUCAUCGCAGCACUGAGACUCUUGUGAUCAUUGUUGUGAGUUUCAUGAGCAUUUUAUGGGUUGUUCAUCUAUGACUCUUGAGUGUGUUUAUAUUCGUUUUACCGGAGUGAGUCAUUGUUUGUUUCUUUCAUUUUCUACACAAAUAUUGUUUUCUAUUAUGUGCAGGGUGGAAACCCAAGUUGAAAUAUCAUAAAUUUCUAGUAUUUAUUAAAUGAUUGAAUUGUUUCGGGAUGGAUAAAAACUCGAAUAAAAGACAAAAAACAAAGUCAACAAAAUAAAUGACUCAAAUUUUAAAACAUUGUUUCCAACUAAAUAACUCUAAACACGUGGGCAAACCAAAAUGAGAUAUCAAGUCCAUAAAUCAUAAAUAAGUCUCAAGUCUAAUAAUUCUAAAGGAAAACAUCAUAAAUGUUGAAAGUCCUUUGCCAUUUUCUCACUCCGAGUCUUGGGACAUGAUUGGCAGCAACUGCAACUCUUGCAAGACGUCUCCGUUCCGAUAUCUCUCGUAUGACCUGGUGGGUGACUCGGGGUGAGUCUUUCGUGAUCAAUUUAUUAUCUUGUUAAUACAUUAUGAAAUCGUGGUAUCGUGUUAUUCGAAUAAUAUUAUGUAUUAUCGUGAAACUCAAACUAUGUGACUUAUUUUCUUAUACUAGCCUUGAACUUCAUUCAAGGUUUCUUAAUUCUUGUAGGGCGUCCCCUCUUCUCACUAACUAGUCCUACCGCCCAAUCGUGAAAAAUCGUGGAUGUUUGGGAGCAUGUAUCCUCAAACAACAUACCGUGUAACGCGUGAUGCCUGUGAGAACGUAUCCGUCAGACAACAUAUCAUGUGAGCAAUAUUGGCCCAAUUCGUUUGGGAGCGGGGGGGGGGGGGGCGCGGCGGGGGGGGGGUUUUUUCUUUUUUCUACAUUCUAAAGAGUGUGGUGUAGAUCCUAGUAAUGGUCUAGGUGAGAUUCGUGAAUGUAGUACUCAUAAAGUAAAAAAAACUGUAACGUAAUUAAUGACUUAAAUUAAAAAAAACAGCAACGGUAGAAUUUACCCCUUAAAUCAUCCACCUGAUAAUAAAGGGUUGAUGAUCUGAAGACGAGGAUUUAGAUAUUAGACUAAAUUCCAACACAUGUUAAAAUAGUCUGGGCAACGACUUACGAUAUUCGAGGAAUUGUAUUCACAAUUAAUGUGAUAUUAUGGAAAUGAUUAAUUCAAAGAAUUCGAGUUAAUGAGAUUAACUAAAAACUUGAAAAAGUAUACUAUUAGUUGUAUCUUAUAGAUGCUAAUUUUUAAGAUAAAGAAAAAAGAGGUCGAAGAAAAGAUCUAAUACAGGGCACUUAAUCAAAUUAUCCUAUAAAAAAUCAUAACUAUAUUUUACUUUGAAUUAGUAAUCCUGAUGAAAUACUCAUACUUAAUCAAUUUAUGAAUAUAGGGAUGACGUUACUAACUUCCGCUUAAUUAUUAGCAUUCUAUAUCAUAUUAGAGCUAAUUAUAGGACUUACAGGGCCUUCUAGAAUCGUUUGGGUACAAACUGUCACAGUCAGAAAGUUUGAGACCGCGACAGCUACAAGGGAACAACUCAUGGCUAAACUGUCAACUUCUAAUAGUUUGUUUACAACAGGCAAUUUACUAGGAGUUCAGGUACUGAAUCAAUUUUCUAGAAGUUUAGUGACUGAAAUGUAAUCAGUGAAAGUCCAGGCGUCGCCACAGACAAAUGCCAGUUAUCUUCUCCUGGAGAAUUCCGGCGAGGCUCCGGUGAGACUCAGGGAACUCAAUUUAAAUGCUAUGAAUCGAUUUCUAACCUUAUUCCGAAGCUAAGAGAGAGUUUGUAUGGACUUGGGUUGCUAUGGAAGCUUCGAAUCGAGAAAGGACCAGCGGUCGACGAAAUCCAAUUCCUGGAAAUAAAAGAGACUGAUGGUUCAGUUGUUUGGCUUCCAUGUAGACUAGAACGAAACUAACGAGGGAUGAGACGGUGGAACCCUUACCUAAUCGAGAUAGGAAUCGAUUAUCUUCAGUUGAGAGAGUCCUGGUUUGCCGGAAACAGAGACGGGAAAGAAGACUGAUGUCUUCGCCCGUCUUGAAGAUCAGAGCUCGAUCUUUGGCUGCAGAAUCAAUUGAUAGGGCUUAGGGUUGAGUAAAUUGAGUUUAAUAGAGAUGGGCGUUAGAUGGAGCAUGAUUGGAGGGCUAGGAUCGUUGCCAAAAAC